rnacentral:lncRNA from 1 species
AGGUCCACUUGCAGUGAAAUAAACCAGAGGUUUGAAUCAUGGCUUGAUACGAAAUUAUUGGAAAGAAUAUGGCGAUGACAUCCACAAUGCCGGGGGACUACACAACGGCACGAACACUAGGAAUUGAAGAUCAUGGACGCCACCUUAAAAUCUGUCCACCACACCAAGGUAAGAAGACGAAAUUACAAGCAGGAUGAAAAAUUUGUUCAAUGAAACACAGCUAUUAAGUGGCUGAAUAAAGAAAAUAUUUAGAAGAUGAGAUUCCUGUGUUUCUGGCUUUCAUGACUUUUUAGAUUUCCUUUCUACUGGAAAACUUUUAACUUUGAAAACCGCAAGUAAUAUUUUUCUUCCUGAAACCUCUGCAGUGGUAGCAAUGCACUGAAGUUUGAUUAAAAGGUUACUGGUCAUUCCUGCCAUGAGAAGAUGAUAGAGAAUAUCACCACAGUGUGACUUGCUUCCAAGGCAGCAUGGUUUCAUGCAGAGGAUCUAAACUGGGGACCAUGUGCUGGGCUGCAAAAGGGCUGUGCAGUGCCUAAAAUGUUAUGCAAAAUUUUAUAAAGG